rnacentral:rRNA from 1 species
AGUGUCGCAUGACACAAAGUUAAAAGGCGCUUCGGCGUCACCUAGAGAUGGAUCCGCGGUGCAUUAGUUAGUUGGUGGGGUAAAGGCCUACCAAGACAAUGAUGCAUAGCCGAGUUGAGAGACUGAUCGGCCACAUUGGGACUGAGACACGGCCCAAACUCCUACGGGAGGCUGCAGUAGGGAAUCUUCCACAAUGGGCGAAAGCCUGAUGGAGCAACGCCGCGUGUGUGAUGAAGGCUUUCGGGUCGUAAAGCACUGUUGUAUGGGAAGAACAGCUAGAAUAGGAAAUGAUUUUAGUUUGACGGUACCAUAGAGAAAGGGACGGCUAAAUACGUGCCAGCAGCCGCGGUAAUACGUAUGUCCCGAGCGUUUACCGGAUUUAUUGGGCGUAAAGCGAGCGCAGACGGUUUAUUAAGUCUGAUGUGAAAGCCCGGAGCUCAACUCCGGAAUGGCAUUGGAACUGGUUAACUUGAGUGCAGUAGACCUAAGUGGAACUCCAUGUGUAGCGGUGGAAUCGGUAGAUAUAUGGAAGAACACCAGUGGCGAAGGCGGCUUACUGGACUGCAACUGACGUUGAGGCUCGAAAGUGUGGGUAGCAAACAGGAUUAGAUACCCUGGUAGUCCACACCGUAAACGAUGAACACUAGGUGUUAGGAGGUUUCCGCCUCUUAGUGCCGAAGCUAACGCAUUAAGUGUUCCGCCUGGGGAGUACGACCGCAAGGUUGAAACUCAAAGGAAUUGACGGGGACCCGCACAAGCGGUGGAGCAUGUGGUUUAAUUCGAAGCAACGCGAAGAACCUUACCAGGUCUUGACAUCCUUUUGAAGCUUUUAGAGAUAGAAGUGUUCUCUUCGGAGACAAAGUGACAGGUGGUGCAUGGUCGUCGUCAGCUCGUGUCGUGAGAUGUUGGGUUAAGUCCCGCAACGAGCGCAACCCUUAUUGUUAGUUGCCAGCAUUCAGAUGGGCACUCUAGCGAGACUGCCGGUGACAAACCGGAGGAAGGCGGGGACGACGUCAGAUCAUCAUGCCCCUUAUGACCUGGGCUACACACGUGCUACAAUGGCGUAUACAACGAGUUGCCAACCCGCGAGGGUGAGCUAAUCUCUUAAAGUACGUCUCAGUUCGGAUUGUAGUCUGCAACUCGACUACAUGAAGUCCCG